UCAGAAUCAGGAGGGAUCCAAGAACAGGCAAUGGCCGUGGAGUUCUGAGGCCGGCAAUGCAGGUUUUGUAUCUUGUCAGGCUCUAAAGGAAACAGAGGAGGCAACACUUUUCAGAACUCAGGGAGAAUUUUUUUUUUUCAGCUCCUUUGGGUCCAACUAGCUCUGAGAUCUAGGUAUAGGAGGGACAGACAGGCAAAUACAGAGUGUCGUGGCUCACCCUAGCAGAGACACAUGAGCAUAAAUCUCCCAGGGAACCAAGGUUGGGGUAGGAAAAGCUGGAGGACAGGUGUGGACAAGUCUGAGUAACAGUUAAAGAAUGCCUUGAUGGGCUUAUUAAUAGUUAGACGUGGCUGAGGACAGUCUCUGAGCCUGAGGAUAUAUCAAUAGAGACCUUCCAAAUGGAAAAAGCAAAGAAAACAAAGACUGAAAAGCAGAACAGAAGAUCGAAGGACCAUGGAACAACCACAAAAGGUGUAUCCUACACAAAAUGGGAAUACCAGAAGAAGAAAGAAAGGAACAGAAGAAAUAUCUGAAACAAGAAUGACUAAGAAUUUCCCACAAAUAAAUGUUAGACACCAACCACAGAUCCAGGAAGCUCAGAAAACACCAAGGAGGAUAUAUGCCAAAAAAACUAUGGCUAGGCAUAUCGUUUUCACACUACAGAAAAUCAAAGAUAAAGAAAAAUUCCUGAAAGAAGCCAGAGGGGGAAAAACAACUUACAUAUAGAGAAGCAAAGUUAAGAAUUAUGUCCUCCUCUGAAGCCAUGCAAACAAAAAGAGAGUGGAGUGAACACUUCUUUCACGUGUUGAGAGAAACAAGUACCUACUAUGUGCCAGGUGCUCUUCUGGGGAUUAUGAACAGUACAGAGGUAAAUAAGACGUUAGCUCUAACCUCUACAAAUGGAAAUGAGUCCAAAAUAGCCAUAACACAAGGUAGAAAGGAAAACAUACCAGAAGAAAUGGUGAGAGAAGGUGCUAUGUGGUGUGACACACAACUUUUAGCUGCUGGCUAUUAGUGAUCAGCAGGAGUUAGUAAAAGCUGUAAGGCAGAGGUGACACUCUGCCAAGGUAUCACGAAAGAGGCAUUCUACGUAGAGAAAAACCAGAAACCCAGGUACCAAAGGAGGAGGUGCCGGAGUGGGAUGGUAGAAAAUUGAGAACUGCAAAUCAUUCAUUAUGGUUGAAGCAUAUUUGUGAGAAAUUGAGUACUGGAAUGAUUUUACAUGAAAAUUAUAAACUUCUAUUCUAUUUAAACUUCUGCUAUUUUGGAUUUUCUGUUACCCAUAGCCUCACCCGAUCCUAAUAAAUACAAGCCUCGAAGAAAACAAAACAAAACAUAACAAAACAAAAACAAGUUCCACCAUAAUCAUUCCUCAUGAAACAGCACUGAGUCUCUCUUUCAUGGCAGUUUUUGUCCUCUUGGGCACUCCCCCUUUUGGUAAAUGCCUCCCUUAAAUUCUAGCACCCGGGACUGAAUACAACAGUCCAGUUGUGACUUAUAAGCCUAGCCUCUAACAGAGUUGUAUGAGCUCUUAAACUGAGCACCUGCGAGGCUGUUGGGAAAGGCAGUCUCAUGUGCAUAGUCUAUCAACCCCCAUUUGGCUGUGUAAGAAAUGGCCCUUGAGCUUAAGAUACUUUCUUACCAAGAGAUGGAGAGCCUACACACCCUGUGCUGGGCUCAUUGCCUUGUGUGGGAGUAUCAUUCCCUGUUGCAAGCUCAAUGUAUGCUCUUUUGUUCUGCUUAAGCAUGUGUGUCACAUGGUAGAUGGCGAACACCAAUGCUAUAGUUGUCCUCUGAGGAGACAGGACAGGGUCCUUCUACUGUGGCCCGAGAGGGGUGCACUUAGCCAACUGCCCUCCAUUGGCUGCUGGAAGAGACCACAGACAAUGCGCCCUUCUGUUUUCUGUUGUCAGGGUUGAAGAUAGCAAGUGCAUCUCUGGGCAACUACUGCAGCUGGCUGUGGGGGACUGAUGCAUACUGUUGAGGCUGAUCUUACUCUGUCUCCUCUCUAUAAUCAAAAUGUGUCUCUGGAAGCUACUUCCCACCAUCCCUUGGCCAUUGGCACCUGGGCUUCUCACCUGUUCUGCUCUCCGCUGUGACUUUAUUGCUGAGAUCUCCACUGUGAGUUACCACCCACAGCACGUACUUCCUUCCAGGAACAAGGCCUUGAAACCG
rnacentral:lncRNA from 10 species